AUUGAACGCUGGCGGCAGGCCUAACACAUGCAAGUCGAACGAGUGGCGGACGGGUGAGUAAUGUCUGGGAAACUGCGUGAGGGAGGGGGAUAACUACGGGAAACGGUAGCUAAUACCGCAUAAUAUGGGAUGUGCACAGGUGGGAUUAGCUAGUAGGUGGGGUAAAGGCUCACCUAGGCGACGAUCCCUAGCUGGUCUGAGAGGAUGACCAGCCACACUGGAACUGAGACACGGUCCAGACUCCUACGGGAGGCAGCAGUGGGGAAUAUUGCACAAUGGGCGCAAGCCUGAUGCAGCCAUGCCGCGUGUAUGAAGAAGGCCUUAGGGUUGUAAAGUACUUUCAGCGGGGAGGCGUUACCCGCAGAAGAAGCACCGGCUAACUCCGUGCCAGCAGCCGCGGUAAUUC
rnacentral:rRNA from 1 species